rnacentral:lncRNA from 1 species
GACACUGAAGACUGGAGUAAUGAUGCUGAAACUACAGCUGCGCAUCACAGAAAUACAUUACAGUUUAACAGAGAUUCACAGAGAAAACAGAUAUUUUACAUUAGAAUAAUAUUUCACUAUUUUUACUGUAUUUUUGAUUUUAAAAAAGCAGCCUUUGUGAGCAGAAGAGACUUUCAAAAACAAUAACAAAUCACAAUGAUGCUCAUUGCGUGUUUUUACUGAGGGGUUUGUUUAUAUCAAAUCAAAUCAGAUCACUUUUAUUGUCACAUCAUCAACAUCGUGUGUGCUGAGAUGAGUGAAAAGCUUGGGAGCGUGCUCCAGACAGUGUAGAAUACAACUGACACAUUAAUACAGUAUACACGCUUAGACACUUUCAGUGUUCAGAUUAAUGUGCUGGACAUUUAUGCAAAUUAGUGCUUAUUUAAUUAGAUGCCUCAUUGCAUAUUUGAACAACAUUUUAACCUUUCAGCUGUAAUGUCUUGCUGCGAAUGUAACUGAGCAGUUUAGUCUGAGUAGUGAAGAUAUUUACUAUUAGUAAUAAUAUUUCUACUUAUUUUACUUGUUAUUUUGUAUUUAAAAAGUACAGCCUUGUGAGCAGAAGAGACUUUCAAAAACAAUAACAAAUCACAAUGAUGCUCAUUGCGUGUUUUUACUGAGGGGUUUGUUUAUAUCAAAUCAAAUCAGAUCACUUUUAUUGUCACAUCAUCAACAUCGUGUGUGCUGAGAUGAGUGAAAAGCUUGGGAGCGUGCUCCAGACAGUGUAGAAUACAACUGACACAUUAAUACAGUAUACACGCUUAGACACUUUCAGUGUUCAGAUUAAUGUGCUGGACAUUUAUGCAAAUUAGUGCUUAUUUAAUUAGAUGCCUCAUUUGCAUAUUUGAACAACAUUUUUAACCCUUUUCAGCUGUAAUGUCUUGCUGCGAAUGUAACUGAGCAGUUUAGUUCUCUCUGGACGAGAUGAAGGAGGCUUUGAAGAGUCUGUUAGGAGAGAAACUCAAGAAAGGAGAGCUGGAGGAGAUCCUGAAGGAGCUGGACCUGAACGGAGACGGAACCGUGGAUUUCGACGAGUUUGUGAUGAUGCUGUCGGUGCGAUAACACCCUCAUUCCUCAUCCGAUACGGGAAAACCUGGAAACACCUGGGCUCUUCAGAUCUGUGUCAAAUCAUUCAAGGCCACACUCAUUUCUGGCAUGAAAAUGCAUUUCUCUUGCUCAACUCUAUAGUAUUUCAUGGACUGGAUAUUGGUCUCGAUGGACUCAUGCUAUAACUAUAAUAGUUUAAAUCUGUUCAUUUUGUCCUAAUAUAGUAAUGGAGGUUGCCAAGUAUUUUCUGGAAAAGUGAGAGACGCCUGAUCAUAGAAGUGUGACUUCAUCACAAACUAGUUUCAGGUAGAAAAAACGCUCAUCUGUAACAUUUUCUAAAAGAUUUGUUGAAGUAAUGCAUUGCAGUAUGUAGAUGAAUCUGAUUUGAAUGUAAAGUACUGUAUGUGUGUCUGUAUUUUCAUGCAUAGAUAUUUGAUCAAGUGUCAAGUUUAUUUUUUCAGUUUUGUUAAUAAAAAGUAAAAGUCUGAAAAAGCCUGAGAACUUAUGUAAGCAUUAUAAUGUUUACUUCAGCGAGAUGAGAGACUAUGGUUCCUGUAGGUGAACAGCGCUGUGAUCAGCUGACGUGUCAUGGAAAGAGUCUGGAGGACUACAGCUCUUAACCUCUUCCUGGAAGCACAAGAGCGCAGGAUUAUCACUCAAACC